UAGGGAAUCUUCCACAAUGGACGCAAGUCUGAUGGAGCAACGCCGCGUGAGUUAAGAAGGUUUUCGGAUCGUAAAGCUCUGUUGUUGGUGAAGAAGGAUAGAGGCAGUAACUGGUCUUUAUUUGACGGUAAUCAACCAGAAAGUCACGGCUAACUACGUGCCAGCAGCCGCGGUAAUACGUAGGUGGCAAGCGUUGUCCGGAUUUAUUGGGCGUAAAGCGAGCGCAGGCGGAAUGAUAAGUCUGAUGUGAAAGCCCACGGCUCAACCGUGGAACUGCAUCGGAAACUGUCAUUCUUGAGUGCAGAAGAGGAGAGUGGAAUUCCAUGUGUAGCGGUGGAAUGCGUAGAUAUAUGGAAGAACACCAGUGGCGAAGGCGGCUCUCUGGUCUGCAACUGACGCUGAGGCUCGAAAGCAUGGGUAGCGAACAGG
rnacentral:rRNA from 1 species